rnacentral:rRNA from 1 species
UACGGAGGGGGCUAGCGUUGUUCGGAAUUACUGGGCGUAAAGCGCACGUAGGCGGCUUUGCAAGUCAGAGGUGAAAGCCCGGGGCUCAACCCCGGAAUUGCCUUUGAGACUGCAUCGCUAGAACGUCGGAGAGGUGAGUGGAAUUCCGAGUGUAGAGGUGAAAUUCGUAGAUAUUCGGAAGAACACCAGUGGCGAAGGCGACUCACUGGAUGACUGUUGACGCUGAGGUGCGAAAGCGUGGGGAGCAAACAGG